AAAAAGGAAAAAGAAUUUUGACACGUAUCAUACAUGCAGCCUUGAAUUAUCGAGAAAAAGAAAGAAAAUGUUUAAAUAUCUUUGUCUCACAUCAGUGCUAAUGGAAUUAAAUGCCGCGACGAUAUUUCCCUUGCAAAUACGAAGAUUAGUCUAUACUUGUCAAGGAUGAAUACUGGAAAUCACUCAUGCAAUUGUGGACAUUCUAUUUGGUUCACGGUGGAAGAGAAAAACCGAGAGAACAAAAAUAGAACAUCAAAGAUAUCUCUGUACUUUUGUAAUCGUUGUAAAAUCUUCAAGAGGAUCUUGGCUAUUCCAAGUAGAAGAAAAGGAAAAUGUAAGGAACGACAGAGUUCGUGAUUCGCACGAAAGAUUCUUCUCCGUGUCUGGAAGAGAAACGUCGACGGCAUAAAGAAUCGAUUCUUCGGAGUCCAGCGACCCUUUAGCUUCGUCCGCAAAUCGAAAACGUCGUUGACCAUUGAAUGCGUCUGGGAUGCAUCUGUAUAUGCAUUGUAUCUGUGUAUAUUGAUGACAUCUACAGGGUGUUCUCAUUCAACAUCCCAAAAAGUUUCUCGAGAUCUUGAACGAAGUCGGGAUGAGCGUAGGUCGUCGCCGAAGAAACGAAAUAAAAAUUCCAUAAGUUUAUAGAGAAGAAGAAGAAGACGACGAUGAGGGGGAAGUAAAGUAGGAGGAGUAGGCGCCGCUGGGUAAUCGACCGAUCGAGUUUGACCGGAGUUGAUCGUCGGACGACCUUGGAAAAUAUCGUCUCUCUCGAAGGUUCAUUUAAAAGCUACAAAGUUCCGACCAUUGAUUUUACUAGACCGAGUUGGAAAGUUUUGAAAGGAAAGCUUACUUUCUUCUACUACCGUGGCAACAUUAACAUUAUUAUGGUACACUUGUGUCACCGGUUAAACGAAUAAGAUAUCAGCAAGAGGAUGAGGAUAUUACAUAAACUUCUCUCUAUCGCAUCCGGAAAUACAAACUGAUAUGUAUCCUGUUCCUCUAUAUGCAUUUCAAGAACUUGUAUGUCAUCAUCUGAUUCCAGAAGAAGAAAACGGAUAGAUAAGAUGCUGUACCAAGAAAAAUAAUCUAAAUGGCUAUCGUACAGACAGAUGUCUUAAACAACGCUAUAUAAUAAUUAUAAGCGAACAGUUUGAUUAAUAAUUACAUCAUCAAUGUAAUAAGAUACUUGAAUCAUCCAGAUUCAAUUAUUCAAGAAGCAUAAAUCAUCGUGAUCGUGAUCAUCAUCUUAUCCACUGAAUAGAAGAUAAAGAAAAAACAACAACAACAACACAUGCAGCUAAUUGUAGAAAAAAGGAGAAACGGAAGGGAUUGUAUUAUUGGUCGACGAGCUUCCGGUUUGAAGCCCUCUCUCUACGCGGAGACCAUUCUAAGCAUUUGCUUGGCCUCCUCCGUUACACCUACGCACGUAUAAAAAGACUUCGUUUACAAAUCAAAGUAAACAGUAUCGUCAUUGGGAGAAGUAAAACAUUCACUUACGAAGAAGCGUGUCAUGUAUACGAAUGUUAUUAUGUACGAGCUGCUUGUAAGACGUGGAAGAACGCACGCGUAGAAAACGAAUUUCGUACACCUGGUCGUAUUAGAAGAUAUUCGAUAAACGUAUUUAGAUAAGAAACAAGUGAUUUACAAAGCAAGUGAUGACAUAGAAAGAAAAUCAACGUUCGUUUAGGAAAAAGCCGUGGCUCAUUUAAAAACAUUGUUUAUCAGCUUGCUAGACUUAGAAAAAGAAGGCAAAAGAAGAAGAAGAAGCAAUCGAAUAUAAUCAUUCGAGAAACGUUUCGUUCGCAUCAGCUUAAUGACCGUAUAAAGGGUGCUACGUGCGUGUUUGUUAUCUGGCUGCACCCUUUUCCUCUUCGAAAUUUGUCUCGCUCGUCUUUGUCGCAUACGUCUACCAUACUGACUAGUCCCGUUUUAUUUAAGUUUUUUUUGUCUUUCGUUGCUCGUAUACUAUGGCUCUACAUAUGACAUACAUAUACGCAUAUAUACGUCUGUUAUUUUAGGAGCAGAAGCUCAAGUAAACUUCGAACUUUUUUUUCUAACAAAGUUUAGAAAUCAUCUUUUUCCUUGCAAGUAUAGAUUAUAUAUUUGUCGGAUUAGAAUUAAACUAUAGAUUGAUAAAAAUUGUUUAGAAAAUCAAGGGUCAUUUAAUUAUGUCGUAAAUGAUAUUGCAAGUUGUUAUUUUUAUGUAGAAAAAUGGGAAAGUUUGCAAACAUACGUCGCGGUAUGCAUGUAACAGGUGUAGAGUAUGUAUGUAUCUAUGUAAUACAAUAGCUAUAGAUUACAGAGAACGGUAGACGUUCUACGCACGAAGCAGAAGCCAACACGCGAGUAAAGCUUGAAAUUGUUUGUUGUAUUUAUGAUUUACAUAGAGAUAAGCGGAUAUCGGGUGAACGUUUCUAUCUAAGAAGGGGUUAACUCUUCAUAGAUAAUAAUUAUAAUAACGUUAAUAUAUGUACAAUAUA